AACUCCUCAAACCGGAAUCGCCGGGAGUU
rnacentral:sRNA from 1 species